UCUCCGAUGGGCUUUGGU
rnacentral:snRNA from 1 species